UAUAAGAGCCUUAUCACCUUGCAGUUCUUGCCUGGUUUCCCACUGAAGGUAAGCAGGGUUGAGUCUGGUCAGUACCUUUAUGGGAGACCACCUGGGGUUGCUGCUGGAAGUGGUAU
rnacentral:rRNA from 1 species